AGUUGAUCAUGGCUCAGGAUGAACGCUAGCGGCAGGCUUAACACAUGCAAGUCGAGGGGCAGCGGGAUGUAGCAAGUACAUUGCCGGCGACCGGCGGAUGGGUGCGUAACGCGUAUGCAACCUACCUUAUACAGGGGAAUAACCUUUCGAAAGGGAGACUAACACCCCAUAGUAUUGAUUUAAGGCAUCUUAGAUUAAUUAAAUAUUUAUAGGUAUAAGAUGGGCAUGCGUAUGAUUAGCUAGUUGGUAAGGUAACGGCUUACCAAGGCGACGAUCAUUAGGGGUUCUGAGAGGAAGGUCCCCCACACUGGUACUGAGACACGGACCAGACUCCUACGGGAGGCAGCAGUGAGGAAUAUUGGUCAAUGGGCGCAAGCCUGAACCAGCCAUGCCGCGUGCAAGGAAGACGGCCUUAUGGGUUGUAAACUGCUUUUACAUAAGACUAACCGUAUAUUUGCGAAUAUACCUGAAUGUAUUAUGAGAAUAAGGAUCGGCUAACUCCGUGCCAGCCGCCGC
rnacentral:rRNA from 1 species